AUUGAACGCUGGCGGCAGGCCUAACACAUGCAAGUCGAACGGUAGCACAGAGAGCUUGCUCUCGGGUGACGAGUGGCGGACGGGUGAGUAACGUCUGGGAAACUGCCCGAUGGAGGGGGAUAACUACUGGAAACGGUAGCUAAUACCGCAUAACGUCGCAAGACCAAAGUGGGGGACCUUCGGGCCUCACACCAUCGGAUGUGCCCUGAUGGGAUUAGCUAGUAGGUGGGGUAAUGGCUCACCUAGGCGACGAUCCCUAGCUGGUCUGAGAGGAUGACCAGCCACACUGGAACUGAGACACGGUCCAGACUCCUACGGGAGGCAGCAGUGGGGAAUAUUGCACAAUGGGCGCAAGCCUGAUGCAGCCAUGCCGCGUGUAUGGAGAAGGCCUUCGGGUUGUAAAGUACUUUCAGCGGGGAGGAAGGCGGUGAAGUUAAUAACUUCACCGAUUGACGUUACCCGCAGAAGAAGCACCGGCUAACUCCGUGCCAGCCGCCGCAGUAA
rnacentral:rRNA from 1 species